UGAAGAUCAGUCGGAGAGAAGACACACAAAGAUGAAAGACAUCAUGGUCUGGUUGAUGCUGCUGUGGACAAUGCCUCUGCUAUCUGCAGGCAAUCAAUUAACACGGGCAAAAGCAGGAGCAGCUGCAGGGGGUGUCAAGGGUAUAUACACAGGUGCAAAAGAGGGAUACAGCCAUGGGGGUGCACGUGGAGGAGCAGCGGGUGGAAGAGCUGGAGGAAUAGCUGGAAUAAAAUCAGAUGAAAAAUGGGCUAACAGAUGGGCUGGCGAAAUUCUCGGAAGUGUCAUUGAUGACAUCGCAGGACUAGGUGGAACGAUUGGAGAGACAGUGGGUGAAUGUACUGGAAGGGAGACUGACAAACUUCUCAGAAAUGUAGUAGGGAAAAGGAAUUAAGGGGUUGCAGGAUAUGUGCAGGAUGUUUCACUGGGAAUGCUGUUAUUGUUGUUAUGAUGAGACACCUCUGUCCAAUUGUUCUCAUUGCAUUAUUAUUUGCAAAUGAUCGCAGUUUGUGUCACUGAACAAUAUCUUAUAUUUUUCUGUUUGGAAGAAAUUUCAAACUUCAAAAAGUGCAUCACAUGAACCAUUCAUCAUGAACCCUUUUCUUGAAAUAGAAAAACAAAAACAAGUACUAACUAAAGCACAUGGGAUAUGGGAUCUGAUUUGUUUUCAUUAAUAGAAUAAGGCAGUGAUUAAUGUUAUAAUUGUUGAUUUUUUUAUAUUCAUCAUACAAUUUAGAAUCUUAGAAUCUAAACGUGAGCUUAAAGCACUCCGGUUUUUACAUUCGAUUACUUCGACCCCAUUAUUUUCCAUACAACCCCACACACCAGCCGUUGGUGCUGUUCAGGAAAAUCCAUUGUGACAAAAUGAACCAACUUCUGUGUAGCUUAAUAAUUUGUGUCGCCAGUGUGUGGGGGCAAACAACAUUUCCACUUGGGAUGUGUAGCCAUGUCGGGGCCAAUGUGCGCACCCCUUAAGUCUACAGUACUUAUGGAAUUAACAACUUAAUAAAUGUAUAGACUUCUCCCUUA